CCGCCUUCCCCCUCCCUUGUGCAGUCACCUUGCCGCUUUCUUCAUCCCUCUUCGCCGUCAGUAGCAGUGAUGAGCGGCAACGCCCGCCACCUCCUCGCUAACGCAAUUCAACACAGUAGGCUGGACCAAGGCUUCGGUCGUCGGAAUAUGCUUGUCGACGCACGCGAUCGCUGCUAACUUCACGUAACGGGCCCGUCAAAGCACACGGCUGUUGCCGUUCUUGGUCCGAUCGCCCGUCCCCGCGCUUGCUGCCCAUCUCGCCGAUCAAGGCGAGGAUCUAGGUUCGCGAUUUUCCUUGUUCGGCGGCUAACAACAAAGGUAGGGUUUUUGAUCUCUUUCACAAUUUUGAGAAUUUUUUUGAACAAAUCUAGUGCGUCGUUUUUAAUUUUCUCAUUAAUUGAAAGUUCAAAACCAAAAGCAUAUGACUUUACUUUGGUUUCGAUUGCAGAUUCGAUUUUAGAAGGUUUGUAAGAAUCAAAUGUUGCUUCGUUCAGUUCUUUCAAGUUUGCUGGGAAAAAAAAAGGCAUCCCCAAUAUCUGUGUUUGUAAAACUUUGAAUUGUUGCUCUU
rnacentral:lncRNA from 1 species